UUCGCAAUGCCCGAAAGGGUGACGAAGCGACGCCGCGUGCGGGAAGAAGGCCUUCGGGUUGUAAACCGCUGUCGGGAGUUAGGAAAUGCAAGGAUGUUAAUAGCGUCUUUGCUUGACUAAGGCUCCGGAGGAAGCCACGGCUAACUCUGUGCCAGCAGCCGCGGUAAUACAGAGGCGGCAAGCGUUGUUCGGAAUUAUUGGGCGUAAAGAGCACGUAGGCGGCCGUGUAAGUCGGUUGUGAAAGCCUUCCGCUCAACGGGAGAACGGCAUCCGAUACUGCAUGGCUCGAGUGCGGGAGGGGAGAGUGGAACUUCUGGUGGAGCGGUGAAAUGCGUAGAUAUCAGAAGGAACACCGGUGGCGAAGGCGACUCUCUGGCCCGUAACUGACGCUGAGUGUGCGAAAGCUAGGGGAGCAAACGGGAUUAGAUACCCCGGUAGUCCUAGCCGUAAACGAUGGGCACUAAGUAGAGGGGUUUU
rnacentral:rRNA from 1 species